AUUGAACGCUGGCGGCAGGCCUAACACAUGCAAGUCGAGCGGAUGAAGGGAGCUUGCUCCUGGAUUCAGCGGCGGACGGGUGAGUAAUGCCUAGGAAUCUGCCUGGUAGUGGGGGAUAACGUCCGGAAACGGGCGCUAAUACCGCAUACGUCCUGAGGGAGAAAGUGGAGGAUCUUCGGACCUCACGCUAUCAGAUGAGCCUAGGUCGGAUUAGCUAGUUGGUGGGGUAAAGGCCUACCAAGGCGACGAUCCGUAACUGGUCUGAGAGGAUGAUCAGUCACACUGGAACUGAGACACGGUCCAGACUCCUACGGGAGGCAGCAGUGGGGAAUAUUGGACAAUGGGCGAAAGCCUGAUCCAGCCAUGCCGCGUGUGUGAAGAAGGUCUUCGGAUUGUAAAGCACUUUAAGUUGGGAGGAAGGGCAGUAAGUUAAUACCUUGCUGUUUUGACGUUACCAACAGAAUAAGCACCGGCUAACUUCGCG
rnacentral:rRNA from 1 species